rnacentral:rRNA from 1 species
AAAACAUGUCUUUUUGAUAAAAAUUUAAAGUCAGGUCUGCUCACUGAAUAAUUUUAAAGAGCCGCAGUAUACUGACUGUGCAAAGGUAGCAUAAUCAAUAGUUUUUUAAUUGAAAACUGGAAUGAAAGAUUAGACGAAAAAUUAAUUUUCUUUAUUUUAAUAAAUUUAAUUUUAAAUUUAAGUGAAAAUGCUUAAAUAAAAUUAAAAGACGAGAAGACCCUAUAGAUUUUUAUUAUUGAAAUAAAUUUAUAAAUGUGAUUUAAUAAAAUAAUUUAAUUGGGGUGAUUUUAUAAUAUGAAUAACUUAAUUUCUUGAAACCAUAAAUAAUUGAAUUUUUGAUCUAAAAUUUUUAAAGAAAAGAUUAAAUUACCUUAGGGAUAACAGCGUAAUUUUAUUUAAGAGUUCGUAUCUAUAAUAAAGUUUGCGACCUCGAUGUUGAAUUAAGAUAAUAUAUUGGAGUAGAAAUUAAUAUAAUUAGUCUGUUCGACUAUUAAAUUCUUACGUGAUCUG